rnacentral:tRNA from 1 species
GGGGGUAUAGCUCAGUGGUAGAGUGCCUGCUUAGUAUGCACAAGAUCCUGGGUUCAAGACCCAGUACCUCCA